GAUGAACGCUAGCUACAGGCUUAACACAUGCAAGUCGAGGGGCAGCGGGAUUGAAGCUUGCUUCAAUUGCCGGCGACCGGCGCACGGGUGAGUAACGCGUAUCCAACCUUCCGUACACUCAGGGAUAGCCUUUCGAAAGAAAGAUUAAUACCUGAUGGUAUCUUAAGCACACAUGUAAUUAAGAUUAAAGAUUUAUCGGUGUACGAUGGGGAUGCGUUCCAUUAGGUAGUAGGCGGGGUAACGGCCCACCUAGCCAACGAUGGAUAGGGGUUCUGAGAGGAAGGUCCCCCACAUUGGAACUGAGACACGGUCCAAAACUCCUACGGGAGGCAGCAGUGAGGAAUAUUGGUC
rnacentral:rRNA from 1 species